rnacentral:rRNA from 1 species
AGAGUUCGAUCCUGGCUCAGGAUGAACGCUGGCGGCGUGCCUAACACAUGCAAGUCGAACGAGAUGCGUAUUGGAAAGCUUCGGCCGGAAGAUACGUUAUCUAGUGGCGGACGGGUGAGUAACACGUGGGUAACCUGCCUUAUGGAGGGGGAUAACAGAGAGAAAUCACUGCUAAUACCGCAUAAGCACACAGUACCGCAUGGUACAGGGUGAAAAGAUUUAUCGCCAUAAGAUGGACCCGCGUCUGAUUAGCCAGUUGGCAGGGUAAAAGCCUACCAAAGCAACGAUCAGUAGCCGAUCUGAGAGGAUGACCGGCCACAUUGGGACUGAGACACGGCCCAAACUCCUACGGGAGGCAGCAGUGGGGAAUAUUGCACAAUGGGGGAAACCCUGAUGCAGCGACGCCGCGUGAGUGAAGAAGUAUUUCGGUAUGUAAAGCUCUAUCAGCAGGGAAGAUGAUGACGGUACCUGACUAAGAAGCCCCGGCUAACUACGUGCCAGCAGCCGCGGUAAUACGUAGGGGGCAAGCGUUAUCCGGAUUUACUGGGUGUAAAGGGAGCGUAGACGGAAUGGCAAGUCUGAAGUGAAAUACCCGGGCUCAACCUGGGAACUGCUUUGGAAACUGUUGUUCUAGAGUGUUGGAGAGGUAAGUGGAAUUCCUGGUGUAGCGGUGAAAUGCGUAGAUAUCAGGAAGAACACCGGAGGCGAAGGCGGCUUACUGGACAAUAACUGACGUUGAGGCUCGAAAGCGUGGGGAUCAAACAGGAUUAGAUACCCUGGUAGUCCACGCUGUAAACGAUGAAUACUAGGUGUCGGGGUGCAAAGCAUCUCGGUGCCGUCGCUAACGCAAUAAGUAUUCCACCUGGGGAGUACGUUCGCAAGAAUGAAACUCAAAGGAAUUGACGGGGACCCGCACAAGCGGUGGAGCAUGUGGUUUAA